UUCUUCUAACUAAGCCUAUCUAGAAACAGCAGAGAUGAAACGCUACCCAAAAAUUUCCCCAUGUGAUUGCUUUGAUGAGCCACUCUUCUGACAGCUUACACCUCACCUGCUGGUUUUGGGUUCCAGUUUUUGCUGUGGUAUGAGCAGCUUUGGAAAUAAUUUUCUUGGAGUGCUUGGGCUCUGAGCUAGCAGAAUGUGGAGACGGUUACCGCUGUAAAGAAAUUUUACGCCAUUGCGAGAUACUUCACAAAGCUAGCUGGAGGGAACGGACUCAAUGCCCAUGUCUUUAUGCUUCUAAAAUAACAGCAUCCCAGAGCAGAUGAAAACACAGCAUGAUUAUCUUCCUACAAGCUUUCUGUGUGCAUGGCUGCUUUGGUGCACAGCCUGUGGACUGCCUGCGGGACAAGCUUAAUUUUGUAGGAACACCCCAGGCAUCCUUGGUCCUAGCAGCUCUCCUGUGGUGGGGAGGAUGCUUGCCUGUCCCAUGUAAAGCUGCUCUUGUAAGCUUACUGUAUUGAACAGUUGAGGCUUAAUGAGGUCGGUGUAGAUGCCCUUUAUUGAACACCACAGACAUAAUGUGUGUCUCUGCAAAGCAGCAGGAAGAAUGGGUUGUACUCUUUUGGAGGAUAUUGCAUAUUCUGUUUAUUUCUUUCAGCUCUUGGAUAAAGAACUGAAAUCCAUACAUUCAGAAGUCUGUUCUACUUCCCUUUCAUAACUACAACUUUUGUUUUUCUUAAUUAUUUUAUUGUUGAUGUCUGCAAAGGUGUAUCACAUACACUUGGAAAUAAUAUAGUUAUUCAUCAACACAGGGUCUCAGUUUCUAAUAAAAUAGUGGGUUUUCUUGUGCUGAUUAAUUAUGGUGGGAAGGGGCAGCUUUUACAACACAACUUUAGUAGUAUCUAGAAAAAUUGGAAUGAAAAAUAGCUGUAGGACACAAAUGGCAUACUAUAAGAUGGUUUUGUUUGUUUUGAUCAAUGGAAACUCAGUCAAAC
rnacentral:lncRNA from 7 species